rnacentral:rRNA from 1 species
GAAGACUGCCCUAUGGGUUGUAAACUGCUUUUAUUUUGGAAGAAAUUGCUCUACGUGUAGAGCCUUGACGGUCUGUAAGAAUAAGGAUCGGCUAACUCCGUGCCAGCAGCCGCGGUAAUACGGAGGAUCCAAGCGUUAUCCGGAAUCAUUGGGUUUAAAGGGUCCGUAGGCGGACUAUUAAGUCAGGGGUGAAAGUCUGCAGCUCAACUGUAGAAUUGCCUUUGAUACUGGNAGUCUUGAGUUAUGGUGAAGUGGCUAGAAUAUGUAGUGUAGCGGUGAAAUGCAUAGAUAUUACAUAGAAUACCGAUUGCGAAGGCAGGGCACUAACCAUAUACUGACGCUGAUGGACGAAAGCGUGGGGAGCGAACAGGAUUAGAUACCCUGGGAGUCCACGCCGUAAACGAUGGAUACUAGCUGUUCGGACUUCGGUCUGAGCGGGCAAGCGAAAGUGAUAAAGUAUCCCACCUGGGGAGUACGUUCGCAAGAAUGAAACUCAAA